ACUGUACCUAGGACCCAUGGAAGUCCCGUCACAGUCCGGAGCAGGGGCUCUUCUGGUGAAUUGAGGGUGCCUUCCUCCAAAUGAGUAUCCCAGAUAUACCCUUGGCCGUGUUUCAGAUGCCCCAAACUUAAAGAAACCUAAAAGGCCAUCAAGCUGGCCAUCUUCCCAAUUAGAAAAAAAUGGGCAAGAAGCUGAUCUGGAAGACCCUGGAAUGAUUUCAAAUCUGAUAUGAAGGGGCCCUAGAUCUUGUGUAAGGUGGUCGGUUACUUGCUCAAGGUCACAUGGCUGGUAAGUGACAGAAUGGAGAUUUGAAGCUGACUCCAAAACUUCAGUGCUUUCCAGUUUACCAGCUGCUGCUUCAACAAUUGCUGCUGGUUCUCAGUGCUACAUGUCACUCUCUGUUUCACUUCCUCUUCACCCUUCACUGAACCUAGCCUCCUCAAGACAUUGUUUUAUUUUUUUUAACAUUUGCCCUAAAUCCCAAAGCCACGCCAAAAUUCUUUUUUUUUUUUUUAAGAUUUUAUUUUCAUGUCAGCUCUACACCGAUGUGGAGCUCAAACUCACAACACUGAGAACAAGAGUGGCACGAUCCACCAACUAAGCCAGCCUCCAAGCCAAAAUUCUUUAUAACAAAUAGUAAUUCAUUUUCUCAUCUGAUAAAAAUAAUGCUCAAGAAGGAAAACUUGGAAAGUAAAAUGUGUAUAUAUGCAAAGAUCACUUCCUGAAACCUGAUGGUAAUCAGAUGAUGACAUUUGUCUUGAAAUUAUCUGACAUACUCUGAUUGUACCAAAUCCUGGAUGGCACCUUACUGUCCAGAAGAACGUAUACAUUCAGAUUGUUUCAAGGCUUCCCUGCUCCGAGAUUUCAAGAAACGCAUCACCAUCCUGAUGCAGGUAGGCCGGGUCUAAGGACCUAGAGGGGGCCCCUACCAGGGGACCUACCAAGGACCAGCCAAGAGGGUCCUUGACUUUGCACAGGAUAGAAAUCAAAUGCAAGCCAGGAGGAAA